UAUUAGAGGAGAUAUAUAUAUGACCGUUUGGGGCACCUAGGUGUCCAGGCAUCUUGCUUAGAUGUCGUUCGUUUGCAUCGUGAUUUUGUUCAGAUGAUGGAUAUAUAACUUAUUGGAUUUCAUCCAUUAACAAAAAAAACUUUCCAUACCUGUUUGCAUGGCUCUGACACGUGUUAAUUGUGUUAAUAAAUUACCUUUCAUAGAUGGUUGCAUGGCGUGUCUUAUAUGGAAACAUCCAAAUCUGAUUAUUUAAUGUGCGUUAUCAAUUGUCCAUUCAUGAGAUCAAGUAAUAAAGAGUUUCCAAACUAUUUCUGUGUGAAAUAUAGUAAGAAAUUUGUAGCACUGCGUACAUUGAGAUUUUUUUAACUGAGUAUAUACUUAUAAGAAUUUUAUCUGGAUAUUUCUCUACAACUACAUAUCUCAGCGUGAAAUAUACGAGUGCAUACCUCAAUAAUUCGUAGGUAUGUUUCCUAAUUGUUUUUAUAUAUUUUCCUACACCUACAUACCCCGGCGUGAAAAAUAUGAAUACAUACCGCAAUAAUACGUAGGUAUUAUACCUAAUUGUUUUUAGGUACAUAGUUCAAAAAUAAGUGGGUAUGCGAGAUUGAAAUAUAUGUAAUUCCCCAAUAUUACUCUAUAGCUACAUACCUAUUCUCUACAACUACAUACCCAAGCAAAAAACAUAUGACUACAUACCCCAAUAAUAUAUAGGUAUUAUUCCUAUUUUUUCUUGCAUAUUUUACUAUAACUACAUACCCCGACGUGAAAUAUAUGAGUAUACCCUAAUAAUAUGUAGGUAUAUAUAUACCUAAUUAUUUUGUGAAGUACAUAGUCACAAAUAAGUGGGUAUGAUACCCAAUUAUUUGAUGGAUAUACAUCCACGUAAAUGUGUGUCACCAUACAUAUUCUUUUUUGGUAUAUAUUCACAAAUACGUGAUCUAAAACUUUUAUAUGGAAAGGAAUGAGAGGGAAAAGCACUAAAAGGAAAUGCUUGAUCUAUGAAACUACAUCAUUUUAGUUUUUAGAACACAGUAUGUGUAAUUUUUAUAGAACACAAUAUGUGUAUUUUAUUUUAGUAUAUUAUUUACGGGUAUUUUACCAAUAUCAUUUACGGGUAUGUGUUUAAGUCAUAUACGUGUAUUUUAUUUUUGGUAUACCAUUUACGGGUAUGUCUUCAAAAAGAGUAUAUUAUGUUAGGGUAUGUCAUCAUUUAUGGGUACAUACUUGAUAAAUUAUGUGAAAUUCAUAGUAUCCAAUACAUUUACGGAUAUGCAAAAGUAAGAGUACUCUAUAAAUUGUUAGGUAUGUGUAUGCGCAUCAUACUUUUUAUAUGUACAUACCUUGGUGUACAAUUUAUGAGUAUAUACCCAAUAAUACAUAGGUAUUAUACAUAUAGUCACAAAGAAGGUAUCAUACCAAAAAAAAUUCACUAUAUAGCUGUACAUACAUGGUGUACAACAUAUGCAUGAAAAUGUAUGAGAGAAGGAAAGCAAUAAAAGGAGAUGUACUAAUUCAUGGAAUUUAAAACACUUGAUUCUAUCUCAUACAUGGAAAGUCUUGCAUGCAAAUAUUAGGAAACAAAUCAAAAUUUAUAGAAACUGCACUGACGGGAUGGACCCGAUCGAGGUGCACAGGCACCUAGGUGCCUGGACACCUAGAUAUAGGUAAAAUGUUUGGGGCACCUAGAGGGUCAGCCGCUGGAUCAAUCUAUGAUCUCAACAAUGCAUAUGGGGUUAUCGAUUGCUACACCCGUUAACAUCAUUCAUUAGCCAUUCUUUAAUGUUGCAUGCCUCCCAAUUAAGGUUAUUGAUUGCUAUCACCUAUGUUCUUUUUAAUUCGAUUCUUUCCAAAUAAGAAAGAUGCCAACUAAUUUAAUUGUUACCAGAAAAUGGCCACGUACUUGACAUAAUUUGUCUGAGCAAUUAACUAUAUACCAUCAAAGCACUCCAUCACGCAUUUGUAUACCUACGUGAUUCAUUUUUCUCUCGCCUGUCUUCUACACGAGCAUACCCCGGUGAUCGUCCCUCCAUCAUUCAUCUUCGUCACAAGUAAGUGCAGAUACAAUCAUGGCUAUCAGCACACUUGACGUGCCAUGGUUGCCAUUGUUGCCGCCGUCGUCGCCGAUGGCACUCGUAGGUUGGGUUUUUUCUCCAUUACAUCAAUAGUAAUUUACCUAUUUCUUUUCGAACUGCAGGUAUCUUCAUUGCUUUUUCAUACUUUUGCAUUUCCAUGCACAUGACCAUGAAAACUACCAGCGCAAGUUUUUAUCAUAUUCAUGGAUCCACGAGAUGGAUAAGUACGAAGAAUGUUCUAUAGCACAUUGAGCCACCACAUUUACUAAAAGAUGUUGUGGUUACAACGAAGGCUUUGUGUGACAACAUGAAGGACUCAAACAACAUGCAAGAGAAGGACAUGGAGAUAUAUGUGAUUUAAUAAAUUUUGUUUCUCUUCGUGGAUAUUGUAUGUGUACUUGCAAAUACACUAGCAAAUAUCUUCUUGUUUCUUGUAAAUUGGAAUGUAAUACGCUCGUGUAUAUGAAUGGCCCAAUUAAAAAGAUACAUGAGAAUAAAAUAGUAUGGUCAUUUA